UAAAUCAUCAAUAUUAAUCAUCUUAACAUCUUCUCUUGGCUUCUCACUUCUCUUGAUUUUCUCCCUUUUUCUCCAAAAACAAGUUUCACGUAAUCCCUGUUUUUUUUUUUUAAUUCUAACUCUCCCCUUUUAUAUAAAUCCUUAACCUACUUAUUUUCUCUUAUUUCCAAAUCUGCCCUCAAAGUCUCAAUAUUCUAUUUUAAUAUAUAUAUAUAUAUAUAUAUAUAAUAUAAAAUAUUUCUAUAACGAAUGACAAAUAUAUCUCUAUAACAUAUAUAUUUCUACACCAAAAAUGAAAUAUAUUUCCACAACAAAUAACAUAAUAUUUAUAAACCAAAUAACAUAUAUUUCUACAACAAAUAACAUAUUAUUUCUACACCAAAUGACAUAUAUUUCUACAACAAAUAACAUAUUAUUUCUACACCAAAUAACAUAUAUUUCUACAACAAAUAACAUAAUAUUUUACUAAUAAAUAUCAACAUAUAACAUAACAAAAUAUCACUCAUCUAAUUUCCAAAACAACCUCCACAACUUAAUCUUAUUUUAUUUUCAAAUCCUAUUCUAUUAAAUAAUAAAAUAAGCCACUUAAUAAAUCAACAACACAUCACAAUAAUCAUAUAAAUCACAUAAGUCAUAAAAAUAGACUCUAAACUCAAUAAAAUAUUCAAAUAAUAAAAUUGGGCGUUACAACUUGAGACCUGCAGAUCUCAAUAAACCUGGAACGUCAGAGAAUCGAUAACAAAACCACCGACACACUGGUUUCAAGAUGCGCUUGAAUCCAGAUUGUGGGAUGAGUCCAACACAUUGUAACCAAACAUCUCUUUCGGGUUAAUAAAACCAGACCCUUUCAGCUUUAUGAAACCGAACUGAGGCCACAUUUGUUACCACCCAAUCUCAGAUCAGAAAUACACACAUAAAUAAACACAAACAUACAAAACAAACAGAACCUAACAAAAGACACGAACACAUGCGUAAGAGCAAAGAACCGAACUCCACAUCCAGUAACCGGAGAGCAGAAACUCCGCAACCAGCAACUGAGAAAAAAAACAGCUCCACCACCUAGCAAAAAGGACCCCCAUCAUCCGAAGUAGAUGAGGCACACCCAAAACCUUAAAAUACCCACAAAUCGAGCUCAGUCUAGUGAAGAUCUACAAAUCAAGGAACGUCACCACCAACCAAACUGGAACCUCCCAAACAGUUGCAACAACGGCAGAAACAGGGCAAACUUGCGUCCAAACUAGAUAUGACGACGACCAAAGAGCAAACACGAACGAAAGUUGAGGGUCGCCGGUGGUGUGGAGAACCAACGAUCUCGUCCACCACCAAAGAAAGAUAAUACAUCGGGCCUUGUUGUUUGGAUGCGAAGGGGAAGAAAGGAGGAAGUUUGUGGUGGUGUUUAUUAAGAAGGAAAAGAGAGGUUGAUGGGUAGUGAGAGACGAGCUCUAAACCUGUUAUUUUAAUUAACUCCACUCAGAUCUCGGGGCACUGUUUUUAAUUAAUUUGAAGUACCUUUUGAAUUAGAAGAAUGUGUGAAACUCUUGUGUGAUUAAAUUUUAUUUGUGAUUUAAAUUAGAAAAAUACUAGUUAUGUUAGGGUGUUACAUGUAAUGCUUAUUAAAACAUAAAUUUGUGUGUAUACAUUAUAGUUUAUAUUUAUGGUCUAUCUCCGUUAAAAAAAAAAUAUGGUCUACCUAAACUUUUUUUUUCUAGCUCCGCUACCACGCGCAACAACGCAUUUUCAAGGUAUUGUCUACUUUAAGUAUUGUGUAAGUCCACAAAAUUUUGUCCUUUGUAUAAGUUGUUUCAAUGGAUUGAGAAAUAUAAGUGUUAUUAAUAAAAGGGUUAAAUAUGUUUUUGGUCCCUAUAAAUAUAUCAACUUUUCGUUUUAGUCUCUCUAAAAAAUUUCUUCGUUAUUUAGUCUCCCAGAAGUUUUUUAUCUUCGCUUUUGGUCCCUCCUUUCAAGUAAACUCAUAUGUAGAAUUCAUAUUUUUAAAUGAAAUUUUGAAAAAAUGAUUAGAAUAUCAUAAAAAUCCCUCAAAAAAAAUUAGAAUUUUUUAACAAAACAUGAAUUAAAUAUGAAAUUCAUAUUUAAUUCAUGUUUUAUUGAAAAAUUCUAAUUCUUUUGAGAGAUUUUUAUAAUAUUCUACAUCGAUGCACAAUUUCAUUAAAAAAAAUACAAAGUUUACACAUGAGUUGACUUAAAAAUGGGGACUAAAAGUUGUGCUUGAAAAAUUUAUUGGCACUAAAAGUCGAUAGAAAAUUUUAGAGAGACUAAAAUGAAAAGUUGAUAUAUUUAUAGGGAGCAAAAACAUACUUAACCCUUAAUAUAAUAUCAUACCUGCUUAAAAAGAAAUAUCAUACACAUCAAUUCCCAUACAACAUGAUCCUUGGUGCUAGUGGUAAGAUAUUUGACUUCUUAAACAUGUCAAUUAAACGGUGGUAAAAACUUUAUAUCCAUAGCAUGAUAACCUUAAAACAACGAGAGAUUUAUAUUAUACAUCAACGAUACUUUUUUUUAGAGAGAUCAAGGAAACUAAAUUUCCAUAUUUAAAUUUUUAAUAUACAUGAACAACCUUUAUUUACCAUAUUUGAAUGUUUAUUAGUACAAUUUCCUAAUAUUAGGUCAAGCACCAAGUGAAUGUUUCUUCAUAUCUACGUUACAAAGUGACUCUUAGUUUAAGUGAAAGAGUAGGAGUCAAGAGUGAUCACGGGCCCCACCUAAACCCCAAAGUGAGCUCCUCAACGAACCAAACGGCCAAAGCAUAUACCAAUAAUUUUAAACUUUAGCCAAAUUCAACCCUUCCACCAAAUUUAAUAUACAUAUAUGGAAUCUAUAAUAUAAAUAUCCAACAUGAGCUGUUAAAGUGCUUAUGCAAACAGUACUUAUAUAUCGAAACAAAUGUAUAAAGAACUUUGUAUUUAUUGAACUUUAGGUAUUUCAAAAAUGCAAGUUGCAAAUUAAACGGUGUCGUGUCGUAUACGUCCCAAUAACUAUAUGACACCGACCACUAUCACACAUAGACAAAUUAGCUUCAUAAGCAUGGUCGAUUAUUUCAAUGUUGUGAGUCCAAAUUCCAUAUCAUUCAUAGAUAGCAUAGAAAAAAGUAUUUUUUUUCUUUCUCAAAAUUGUACUAUUUUAUUAUCUAAAUAAAUAUCAUGCAACUUUUUCGAUA
rnacentral:lncRNA from 1 species